AUCAAACAUCAUGGCUGAGCACAGGCAUGCAGGUGGAUCUCAGGAUAUAUAUAUAUAUCCUCUGCCAACCUUGUCGCCUGAUGAAUGGGAAAUCUGCAGAGAAAUCGUGGAUAUUAUUCAUCCAUUUGAGGAGGUCACUACAGAAGUGAGUGCAGAAAAAUCCCUAUGGCUACCUAUGCGACUGCCAUGUGACAAAUGAUGGAAAGACUCAUACUUGAGACUUGAGAGUGUUUCCAGUCCCAGCCUGGGGUGUGUUUCCUGUACAACGAAGUAACUCACUGUGUAACCACUAUUGUACAAUGCAUCGUUGGAGAAAUGAACUAGCUUGUCAGGACUGUGUCCCGAAACCGUAGUAACUAUGUCACACAUCCAUCAUUCAAACCACUUUGGUUGAGCUGUCAUUAAUGACAUUACUCAGGGACUGGAGAUAUAACUUCUGCAAAUAUUAUAUUAUAAUAGCUCAUUCACAUGUACACCAGAAAGUUGUUUAAUGCGAGGAAGAUGCUGAAGACAGGAGAUCUGCAUGCACGGUGUAGAUACAUACACUGCAAUAGAUGGGUUUCCCACUACAUCAAACUUCGGGAUUCCCCCGACGCACUUGAGCACUACAUGCACAUUUGCACUCUUCAAAAAGUGUCAAAUC